rnacentral:lncRNA from 1 species
GCUCGCCCGCCCCCAUUUACAAACAGUGUUUAGGUACGCGCACACGUCCCCCACCCUGAUCACUGCCCUCAUCUGAUUUGUUAUCCAUAUCAUCCCUGCCCCGGUUCCCCCCACUUCCCCCUCUCCCGAGCCGACACAUCCCGACCAGCACCACGUCACCUGCCCGCGGGAUAACCCAACUAAUCGAACAGCGAUCGUUCAUCAUCGCCCAUGAUGACAUCCCGUUGGUUCCCCGGCCAGCCUUGGUCGGAAUUUCCAAUCAUGAUGGCCGCGGCCGAAUCGCCGCUCGACGACGCAUACGCAGGCGAUCCAUCUGCACCCCCGGGUGCGGGGCUCCGCUGGGCUCUUUUCUGGUUAGGCCCC